rnacentral:rRNA from 1 species
UGACGGUACCAUCAGAAAAAGCAACGGCUAACUACGUGCCAGCAGCCGCGGUAAUACGUAGGUUGCAAGCGUUGUCCGGAUUUACUGGGUGUAAAGGGCGUGUAGGCGGAGAGGCAAGUCAGAUGUGAAAUCCCGGGGCUCAACCCCGGAACUGCAUUUGAAACUGUUUCCCUUGAGUAUCGGAGAGGCAAGCGGAAUUCCUAGUGUAGCGGUGAAAUGCGUAGAUAUUAGGAGGAACACCAGUGGCGAAGGCGGCUUGCUGGACGACAACUGACGCUGAGGCGCGAAAGCGUGGGGAGCAAACAGGAUUAGAUACCCUG